rnacentral:rRNA from 1 species
CCUAAGGUUAUCAUUGGGGCACACCUGAUUUCAUGUUUUCUUGGAAGCUCAGCUGGUCCAUGCCUGGUCUGCCCUGGAUGGGAGACCACCUGGGGACACCUAUGUGAGUUUAUGC